UUUAAAUGUAGCUAUGAGUUUUCGUGUUCAACUUUGAUCGACCGUCUUAUUUAAAUUUUUUUAUUAGAUGAUAAAACAUGAAUAAUACUUUAUACGUGACCUAUGUUUUUGAUUUUUUUUAAAAAAAACUUAAAUUGACGAAUAAUUAUAUUUAGACAUAGAAACUUAUAUCUGCGCUCAAA
rnacentral:pre_miRNA from 1 species